CCAACAGUUCACAAAGCCUACAAUUGCACGUACUAUGCAGCAGUCCAGCUCCAGCCCCACGCACGUAAAAGCUCACAUCUCCCUCUGAUUCCAUCCCUAAUUAAUCUCCUGAAUAUCCGACGUAAUUCCAUACUCUCCCUAUUCUCAUCUGCAGACUAGAGGUACAGCCGCCAGAUCGCAUCUUGGUACCGUAGUUGGCCGGCGUGCAACGUCAUCUCUGUCGACUCCGGCCGGCCGACGCAGUGAGUCGAAUACAUCGAGAUGUCAAGUGAAGAGAUGGAGAUGGGAAACGGGAGUGAGUCCGACCAUGACAUUCACGUCCAGAACCAGGAGAAUGAGGUUCCUGAGGACAAUGACGAUGGGAAGGAGAUUGUGCUGGUCGAUGAUGAGGCAACGGAGGGGUUACAGAAGGAAGAGGAAGCGGCUGCUGCUAACAAGGAUAAGGAGGAUGGUGAUGCUCAGACAGGAAGAAAAGAGAUGGCAGC